CCUGCUUCGCCUCCAUACCUCACAUUAUGGGACAGAGCCCCUGAUCUGCCAGCACCACCUGAGGGUCUGGAAACCACCCAAGCGAUGGAAGAGGACCAGGAGCUGGAAAGAAAAAUAUCUGGAUUGAAGACUUCAAUGACUGAAGGCGAGAGGAAGACAGUCCUGGAAAUGGUCCAGGCAACUGGAACAGAUAGACACUGUGUGACAUUGUAUUGCAUGAGGAAGACCAUACCCUGGGAAAUUCUCUACAUUACAUGAUCAUGAAGAACCCGGAAGUGGAAUUUUGUGGUUACACGACGACCCAUCCUUCAGAGAGCAAAAUUAAUUUACGCAUUCGGACUGGAGGUACCCUUCCAGCUGUUGAGUCAUUUCAGAGAGGCCUGAAUGAACUCAUGAAUGUCUGCAAACAUGUGCUUGACAAGUUUGAGGCCAGCAUAAAGGACUAUAAGGAUCAAAAAGCAAGCAGAAAUGAAUCCACAUUCUAGUCCCUUAUGCAGUAUACAAGGAGAACUGUCCUCUAGGAUAUUCUCUUCCUGAUGGUGCAGAACCCAGAAUUAGAAGUUUGUGGUUACAGCACACUCUGUCCUUCAGAAAGGCGUGAUUCUAGCUGGUGACCCCUUGCAGCUGUUGGAAUCUCUGCAAGAACCUCUGUAUUCUUCUAAUAAAUUCCCUCUUGUAUUUU